rnacentral:rRNA from 1 species
UUAGAUAGAGGCCUACCAUGGUGGUAACGGGUAACGGGGUGUUAGGGCACGACACCGGAGAGGGAGCCUGAGAAACGGCUACCACAUCCUAGGAUGGCAGCAGGCGCGCAAAUUACCCAAUCCCGACACGGGGAGGUAGUGACAAUAAAUAACAAUACGGGGUUCUUUAGGAUCUCGUAAUUGGAAUGAGUACAAUUUAAAUCUCUUAACGAGGAACAAUUGGAGGGCAAGUCUGGUGCCAGCAGCCGCGGUAAUUCCAGCUCCAAUAGCGUAUAUUAAAGUUGUUGCAGUUAAAAAGCUCGUAGUUGAAUUUCGGGGUUAGUAGGUUGGUCAUGCCUCUGGUAUGUACUGGUCUCACUGAUUCCUCCUUCCUGAUGAGCCGUAAUGCCAUUAAUUUGGUGUUGCGGGGAAUUUGGACUGUUACUUUGAAAAAAUUAGAGUGUUUAAAGCAAGCUAACGCUUGAAUACAUUAGCAUGGAAUAAUGAAAUAGGACGUUCGAUCCUAUUUUGUUGGUUUCUAGGAUUGACGUAAUGAUUAAUAGGGAUAGUUGGGGGCAUUAGUAUUCAAUUGUCAGAGGUGAAAUUCUUGGAUUUAUUGAAGACUAACUACUGCGAAAGCAUUUGCCAAGGAUGUUUUCAUUAAUCAAGAACGAAAGUUAGGGGAUCGAAGACGAUCAGAUACCGUCGUAGUCUUAACCAUAAACUAUGCCGACUAGGGAUCGGAUGAUGUUAAUUUUUUAAUGACUCAUUCGGCGCC